GCCGCGCGUCUCCCCCCGAUCCCCUCCCCUCCUCCUCUCUCUCUCGCACAACCACCGCCACCACCACCCUCUAUGCCCCGCACGCACCCCUCUCCCCUCCUCUCUCUCGCACACCCGCCGCCACCGCCGGCGUCGAUCCGUCGUCGAUUCCCAUCUCCAGAUCGACGCCACUGGCGCCCCCGCACGCCGCAAGAACGCUGUCGCCUCGGCUCAUCGAUCUCCGACAACGCCGCCGCGCGCCGCCGUCGAUCUCCGCCGCAAGAACAAUGUCGCCCCGCCUCACCGAGCUCCUCCGACGAUAUUCCGCGUCAAUUAAUCUUCAGAGCAAUAAGGGACAUCAAUUUCCACCUUGCUGAUAUCGCGGCACCGUUGAUACCGGUCACCGGAGAGCGUCUAUUUCACCUGCACUGCUCCUGUUGUCAUCCACGACCACACUGCAUCUAUGUCCUCGACCUCUACCUGUCGCUGACGACCAUCCAGGAAGGUCGCCCUCGCAGCGUUCUAAGCUGGGUUCCGUCCGUGCCCACCAUUGAGGUAAACUACUAUAUAUAUAGUUCUUAAAGUUUCAUAA
rnacentral:lncRNA from 1 species